AAAUACCCGGCGGGUGGUUCCUCCUCCCUCCGCCUGCCGGGCAAGCGGCCAGCACCCCUCCCGCUGGCCACGGACUGGAAAAAGGCCGGCACCUCCUCCCGCCGGCCUUUUUCU
rnacentral:sRNA from 1 species